AUGAUCUUCUUGGCUCGGGACAAAGUGCACAGAAACUGGGCUUUGAUGGGGUGGCAGAUGGCGAUGUAGCGCUCUAUGGUGAAGGCGGUGAUGGAGCAGGAGGACGCGUUGAUGCCCAGGUACUGGAGUAUCUGGAGCUUUGAUGGAUCCAACAGAUGUUAUCAGAUGGAGGACACUUUAAAGAUGCAGCAAACAACAAACAGAUCUUCUCUGCUCUGAUGAACCAUGGAAAGUGGCAUUUACUGAGUGGAACAUACGAGGCAAGAGAAGGAGAGACAGCUGAUUUUACAGGAAGUCGGUCCGAGUCGACCAGGACCCGCUGAGCUGUCAGAGCCGUGAGUCAGGAACGGUCAUAAAACAGCUGCUGCAGCCCUGACCUGCUCCAUUAGCUGGACGUACACCGGGCCGGGGGCCGUCUAUUACCUGGCUGACAGGAAGCAUCAUGGAGCUGCACGUCUAGAUCCAAGCAGCCGGGAUGGUUGUGGGCAGCCUUCAGGUGUGACAGGAGAAAAAAAACACAAAUCACAUUCAUCAUCUGUCACAGCUGAGAUUUCACAGGUGGAAUGAGCUGCUGGAAUGAAAGCCAAGGUCUCUGAGGAGGGAAUUAAAAACAAAGACUGCAGAGUUACAUAACAACAAGUUCCCCAACAUGUCUCUCAGAGAUUCCUUUCAGGAAGAUUAAACAUUUAUAUCAGCUAUAAAUAACAAUAAAGAAACGCAGAAUAUAAUGGUGAGGAUGAGGAUGAUGCUCAGGGAGAACAUAAACAUUGUUUUUGUGUCAGCAUAAGAAUAGAAAACAGAGAUAGAAGAAGGAAGCAGCUGAGGGGAGGUUGAUGUAAAGAUCUUUAACUGGGAAUUAGAAAUGAAGGAAAGAAAUAAAAUAAACCUGAGAUGCCAUCAUGUACAAACUGGAUCCUUUGAUUUGUUGCUAUUGAAUUAAAAUAUUUGUAUUCUGUCAUGACUAUUUAUGGUAAAAUAUUUAAAAUAUGAAACCCAUAUAUAUAUAAUACCAGUAUAUUUGAAAGUACCAGUUAUUCAUUUAAAACUAUGAGUUAAAAAGAUGAUGUUGAAACUCUUCACUGUGGUAAAAUCCAGUAAAAUGUAGUAAACUCUAGUUUACUGCAGUAUUUUUACAUUUUACCAUGUUACAGUUGAACUUUACUUAACCCUCAUGUCGUCCUGUGGGUCAAAAUUGACCCGUUUUAAAGUUUGAAAAUGAGAAAAAAAAAUAUUUUCACAAUGAAACUUCUGAUGACCACAUUUUCAACAUUUUUGGGCAUUUUUAAAAAUUUUUUUGGUUGAAAAAAAGAAAAGCUAAAAAUGUUUCUGAAGAACAUUCACCAAAAAAUCAACCAAAAUACAACGAAAUUUGCUGGAAAAUAUUAGAAGUUUUACUGAUAUAUAUGGAAUCACUUUAGAUAUUUUUUAGGAUUUUUUGUUUGGAAGAUUUUUGCUCAUUUUUUGAAAAUAUUUAUAAGAAUUUUCUUGCCAAAUUUGGGGGAUUUUGUAAAAAAAUAAACUUUUAAGGGAAACUUUUAAGGAAUUAUUGGAAUUUUCUUCCUGAAGGUUUUGCAAAUUUUCAGAAAUUUGGGGAAUGUUUUUGCUGAAUUUUUGUAUUUUUUUCAGACAAGAAAACAAUGUUUUUUAGUGCUCGUAAAUGAGGACAACAGGAAGGUUAAGUUAUUUACUCUAUAAUUGACUACAGCAAAGGUUUCGGUACCGUUUAGUUCUGUGACCAGAUUUUUCAAAAAUAUAUUGUAAUUAUUUGGUGUUGAUACUGUAAUGAACACCAUUACAUGGCAAUAUUAUUUUUACAGCAAAAAUAAUGCUGCUAUAUGUUUAAUUUUCCAUUUUGUUAAAAUAGACAACCCUAAAAUGUAAUAUCUGCUAGAUAUGUUUAUUUUAACAUUACAAAAUGUAUUAGAAAACAAAGGUCAUUAUAUAUAUUUAAUAAUUUCUCUUUAUAUGGAAAAAAUAACCUUGAAACAUACAGUGUAUAUUAUGUUGUUGUUGUUUUUUUUUCUUUUUAUGA